rnacentral:rRNA from 1 species
UACGGGGGGGGCAAGCGUUGUUCGGAAUUACUGGGCGUAAAGGGCUCGUAGGCGGCCAACUAAGUCAGACGUGAAAUCCCUCGGCUUAACCGGGGAACUGCGUCUGAUACUGGAUGGCUUGAGAUUGGGAGAGGGAUGCGGAAUUCCAGGUGUAGCGGUGAAAUGCGCAGAUAUCGGGAGGAACACCGGUGGCGAAGGCGGUUCUCUGGGCCUUACCUGACGCUGAGGAGCGAAAGCGUGGGGAGCGAACAGG